rnacentral:snRNA from 1 species
CGCGCUAACCUAGAACCCA